UAAGCAGUUAUGAGCAGCUAACUUUUAAGAAGAUCCAUCCCAUGUAGGAAGUCGGAUCUUCUAUGAAAUAGUCUUAAGCUUGGCUUCUGAGCUUU